rnacentral:rRNA from 1 species
GAUGAACGCUGGCGGCGUGCUUAACACAUGCAAGUCGAACGGAAAGGCCCAAGCUUGCUUGGGUACUCGAGUGGCGAACGGGUGAGUAACACGUGGGUGAUCUGCCCUGCACUUCGGGAUAAGCCUGGGAAACUGGGUCUAAUACCGGAUAGGACCACGUCUUGGAUGUUGUGGUGGAAAGUUUUUUCGGUGUGGGAUGAGCUCGCGGCCUAUCAGCUUGUUGGUGGGGGAAUGGCCUACCAAGGCGUCGACGGGUAGCCGGCCUGAGAGGGGGUACGGCCCCAUUGGGCCUGGGAUACGGCCCAGACUCCUACGGGGGGCAGCAGUGGGGAAUAUUGCACAAUGCGCACGAGCCUGAUGCAGCGACGCCGCGUGGGGGAUGACGGCCUUCGGGUUGUAAACUCCUUUCGCUAGGGGCGAAGCGUUUUUGUGACGGUACCUGGAGAAGAAGCACCGGCUAACUACGUG